GACGAACGCUGGCGGCGUGCCUAAUACAUGCAAGUCGAACGAAGUUGCGAACGGGUGAGUAACGCGUAGGUAACUGCCUCUUAGCGGGGGAUAACUUUGGGAAACGAUAGCUAAUACCGCAUACUGUGAGAUGGACUUGCGUUGGAUUAGCUAGUUGGUGAGGUAAAGGCUCAACAAGGCGACGAUACAUAGCCGAACUGAGAGGGGGAUCGGCCACACUGGGACGUGGACACGGCCCAGACUCCUACGGGAGGCAGCCGUAGGGAAUCUUCGGCAAUGGACGGAAGUCUGACCGAGCAACGCCGCGUGAGGGAAGAAGGUUUUCGGAUCGGAAAGCUCUGUUGUUAGAGAAGCGGUACCUAACCAGAAAGGGACGGCUAACUACGUGCCAGCAGCCGCGGUAAUUC
rnacentral:rRNA from 1 species